ensembl:lncRNA
UUCAGAAUUAAAUCAAAUUUUAAGACUGCAAAUUAUAGUAAAGUUGCAAGUUAUAGUAUUUCUACUUAAACAUUUAAUGGGUUGCCAUAGAGAACUCUACUGUGCUUAAAUUAAAAUGGCACUAUCCAAAAGAACUAAGCUAAUAUUUCUUGGCUACAGAAACCAGAUGAAUACAAUCAGUGCACUCAGUGGGAAAUGAAAAGGGAAAAUAUUCUCUUGGUUUGGGUGAUUUCAGGUGUGUUCACUUGCCCUUUUGUGUGAUCUUUACGUGUAAAAUGUCUUUUAUUUCCUAUAUGCAAGUUUGUUUUGUGAACACUGUUUUCUUUGUUGUCUAUUUUGAACCAUCUUCGUUUCCUGCAGUUUCCAAAAAAUCAGCUGACUUUUAGGUAGUUGAUGCUCUAGACGUUAUUGCCAUAUGACUACAAGUUACUGAUGGAAAUUCAAACACAUCCUCCUGGGUUUUAUUGCAUGGCUCAAAAAGCCUAACUGCAGUUUUGGCCUCUUGUAAUAGCGGCUGUGUAGUGUAACGAGAAGAAAAACCUAAUCACUGAUAUCUUUGUUAAAACUUCUUCACAGAGUGUGGUGCGCACAGUGCAGGAGUGGAUGUGAUGAAUCCUGCAGGCAAACAGAACUGUCCUUGUUUGCAGAAAGGACUGUUUUAGAUUGUAACAGUUAUUGUGCUGCUCAUCCAGUUCACUGCAGAUAUUUUUCCCUUACCAAACUAAUAUUUGAGUUCAAAUGUUCACUCUAAUGUCAGGACCUGAUAUAUUUUUACUUCCCCCUUUCUCUUAAUUUUAUUGAUUUUUUUCUAAGCCAAACAUUCCAUAAAUUAGUUCUAUUAGAAGGCUUAUUGUGGAAUGUGAUAUAAUUGGCAACUGAUUGUUGAUGUAGGAGAUUUAUGUUGGCCUUACAGUAAUAGUUUCUUAUAAUUGAAUACAUAUGUGAUUUCCAGUGUCUAGACUUGGGAACUUUCCCAGGAAGGAGUUCCAGGUGGUUAUCUAACUGUAAUAAGCCAAAUGGCUACCACUCAGUCUGCAGACAUGGGAAAUAUGCAAAUACUACUGGCAAAUGUAAUUAUUUCAUAAAUCUGCAUUUAAAUCACAAUAUAUCCAUUUACAUCUAAUGGUUUGACCAGCUUAUUCGUUUUAUAGAUUCAUUUAGAAUCUUUUUUUUUGAUUCAUUUAGAAUCUUUUUUUUUUAAACCUGAACCUUUCUUUCCCUCGAUUACUCCCUAAACUGAAAUAAUAUAAAAUGCAGAGGUGAGAAGUUCUUGAUAUGCCCGGAUGUCAAAAAGCUUUAACUAUGUUACAUGCCUGAGUUAGUUGCAUUAGUAUAUGAAGUAGUAAGUGCUUGAAGUAGCAGUUACAUUGCCAUAUAUUGAACUAUUUCCAUGAAAUCUGAUUAGGUAUAGUUAAGUGACAUGGCAACUUGAGUUUUCAUUUGCUAGCAGACUGAUUUCUGGAAGGAUCUCAGAAAGGAAACGUGUCUGGAAGCUGCACAGCCUACUAAAGCAUGUGGUGAUUUGAUAUUGUCCUGAUCCCAGUUUGCCUCGAACAUGCUUUGCACGCUAAAACAUCCCUGGAGAAGGAAAACACAGUUGGCUAUCCCAGCGUGAAUACUCUGCAAAUAUUGUUCUGGGGCCCGCACAGCCUGUGACUCACAAUGAAUAUUUUCAGCUCUGGUUCUUACAGUACAAUAGGAAAUACAAAGGAAAAUAAGUAAUUUGCUGGGGCCUAACACAGUGUGACUUGAUCAUUGUGCUUCAGAGAACAGAAGAGCUACAUUAGCAGAAGUGAAAAGUCCUUUCAAUUCAGAUUUCAUAUGCCAGAUGGCUGGCUCUUGUUCUUAUGUUUUGGUGGUGGUGGGUUUUUUGUUGUUGUUGUUAUUUUUGUUGUUGUUGUUUUUCCUUUUAUCCUACCUGUUAAGAUAGCAAAGAAUGACAUACGUUAUCUGGCUCUGCAGCCAAGUGUGUGGUCCAAAUUAUUUUCACAGAAUGCCUGGAAAAAUCUGCUUGCUUGCCUGCCUGCCUCAAUCAUUUUUCUCAACUAAUUAGAAAAGUCUGCCAAACAUUUUUGGGCUAAGGCACUAAUUAUUCUCAAACAAAUGUUUCAAUUUUGCACAAGUUAGGAAGUGUCUCUGUAUUAAAUGACUGCAUGCCAAGAUGCCAGAGUAGUCAGUCUGCUUUUGUUUAUCAGUAUGUCUGGAAGUCCUGUAGGACCAAGGAAAAAAACUUAAAAGCACCAUUUUCAAGCAGAGAUCUGUAGUGUUUGGUGAUGUUAAAGGAAAUAAUACUGCAAUACUUACUUUGUACGUGUUAGCUUUUAAUGAGAAAUAGGUCUAUUUUCCUUCUGGAAAUGCUGUUUCUUGUGAUGUUUGUAAUUGCAUUGGUCCUCAGAUUCUGUUGUUUCUGGCAGAGAAUAAAAGGAAAUCUUGUAGUUUUUCGUGCCAGACUGGCCUAUCUAACCCUGUCUCAGCUUUUAUGGCCCAGUCUUCAACACCCUAUUUCAGCAUUAAAGAAGAUGGUCCCUCGUGGCAAGGGCAUUGGAGAGUCAUUCUUUGUAAAAGUUCAAGUUGAAUUUGGCAAUCUGAAGAAAUUUGAAUGGUUUAAUGAGGCCUAUAGCUUGUUUUCCAAGUAAUGGUCUGGACCUGGAUUCUGUGUUUCCCUUCUCGGAAGUGGUGGUGAUCUUCUGGAACAGUCUCAUCCUACCUCAGGUCUGGAAAUGUAUUGGCCAUGCUGAUUUAUUUGUGACAAGGUUCACAGUCUGAUAGUUUGUUAUGUCAGUGAUAAGAUAUAUGCCUCUGAUUAGCUGUAUCUCUGCUGAUGCUGCUAAACUUCUGCCAUCUGUCUUUCAAAUUGUUUGUUCUCAUCCCAAAAGUUGCUCUGUAAGAUGAUGGUAGAUUGCAAUACUUAGGAGUCUUUUUGACUUCUGUUGGAUCUGCCCAUGUAUAACCAACAAAAAAUAGUUUCCACCAACUGCCUUCCUCUGUUUUUUGAAAGUAGGGGAAAUGUGUUUUUUUGUUUUGUUUUGUUUUUGUUUUUCCAUGGAAAAAUACUGUUGGAGCAGCCCUCGUGUUAUUUUCCAAAGAUGACGAGAGAAACUCAACAGUUUAUUUCACAGAGUUAAGUGAAAUGAUUUACUUAUGAGCCAAUGAGUUUGUUUUUUAGAUCUGUGCUAGCACAAAAUUGCUGGAUUAAGGUGGUGGGCUUUUUAGUUUUGUUUCUUGAAGCAUAUAUUAAGGGGGAGGACAAAAUGAAAGAAUGAAACCAUCAGAAUGGCAGCAGAACUUGGAACAUUUCAUUACUUGAUUUAUUUCCAGAAGCCACCUGUGCCAAGGCAGAAAAUGUGCUUAAAUACUACAGUAUUUGUACCUCUUUGAACAAUUAUUCAUAUUAGGGUAAUUAAGUAGUCAUAAUUUGUAUUUGAAUAAUGGAUUAUAUGUGUUUUCUUUGCAAUAUUUCCCUUCCUUCUUUAGGGAAAAUAUUGAAUCUGGUUUGCGAGUGCUUUCUACCAUUAAUUACUUUUUGCCCUGAUCUGCACCCACUGGCUUAAUUGCCAUCUGUCUGCAUAGUGUGCAGUGUGUGCUUUUUUAAAAUAAAAAAAAAAUAAUAACAAAUGUAAAUUGUUUGUAAAGAGGAGAUGCAUCACGUGACUCUGAAAAGAGUUGGCUCUGGACAAUGCUGGCUGCUCCUGGCAGUGGCUGUGCUACAGGAGUGCAUGCAGAGAGAAGAUGUCAAGUGAAGACAUUGCAAAUAUGGCAUUCCUGAUUCUUUAGCAUGAUGUAGAACAAAAGACAAAGGGGCUGUGAAUCCUAGAGUGUCUCUCAUGGUUCAGUCCAUAGUCAUCUCCUACAUGGCAAGGAAGCUUUUAAGAAAACAGAGCUUAGAAAACUUUUCUUUUUCUAUUUUGUUCAUUUCCUUCUUGUCCUUUCAGUGCACAGUUAUUUGCUAGAUAAUUCUCCCUGCUGGUUUCAACUCGAUCCUUUUGAGUGCAUGAAUCUUUCUUUUCAACAUCAGUCACACAGUCUAAACCUUGCGAUGACCUCUAAAUGUACUAAACAUUUGGUAACCCUUCUUGGCUUUCUUGACAUUUGGAUGUCUGCGGAUUUAGCCUUCUCUUGAGGGGCAGAGGAACACGGUGGAGGAUCUGAAUUUGUUCAAGGUGGUAGCUGUUAUCCAAGACCAGCAAGGACCUGGUGGCAGCAAGAAUGUCAAGAUACCUAUAGCCAUGCAGAGGCAGCUGCCCAUAGAUGACUUGGAUCUUCAUUUUUUUGUGUGAAAUUGAAAUUUAUGGAUGUCCUCAGAGCAUGUUCUUUCUAGAUGAAAGAGUUGAUGAAGCUUCAAAAGUGGUUCCAUACUCUAGGAGAUGUGUGAUAGUACUGUCCUGGUUUGAGCAACCUGAACUGCAGAUGUCACUCUUCGUGGGAACUCAACCCUUUUGUUGCCUGCAGCAUCGGACUGCACAAACUACACAAUUCUUUACCGCAUGGAAGUGUCAGGAGGAAAUGUGGGCUGUGAUGAUCAAAAACAAAAGACUCUUUGGGAUCUUCGACCUUGUGCAAUUAAAGGUCUCCCUUCAAUACCUACUUCAUCAUUUAAUGUCUGUGGUGCUAAUAAUGUGCUGGUGCUUUGGUAUGGUAUCAACUCCAAGGGAAGAGUGCCACCUACUGAACUACCAGUUCUCUAUUUUGUGACAUAUAUAUCUGCCAGUUUUUCACCCAAAAUACUGACCAAAUCCUGUCUUGUGUAAGACAUGCAAUAUCAAGGCCUUGACAUGGCAUAUCCAAAUGUGUGAUGUUCCCAGUGUGGAUGAGAUCACUGUGCUGUGGCACUUGGAAACAUAAUCCUUUCCUCCUUUGUGGAUGUUUGAACGUGGAUUUUAACACGAUAAUUAUAAAAGACUGCAAUAAAAAUGAAGUUAGUAACAACCCACAUAAUGUUACUGUUAUCUGACCCUGAUUUGAACUCUCCACUGCUAUAAAAGCUAAAAUAUACUGCUAAUGAUUUCUUUGAAAAUAUGCUAAUAAUUAAUGCAUUAUUUCAG